rnacentral:rRNA from 1 species
AGCUCCAAUAGCGUAUAUUAAAGUUGUUGCGGUAAAAAAGCUCGUAGUUGGAUUUCUGUUGAGGGCGACCGGUCCAUACAACGUAUGCGCAUCUGGCUCGGCCUCGGCAUCCUCUCGAUCGACGUACUGCGCUUGAUUGCGUGAUGCGGACUCGGGACUUUUACUUUGAGGAAAUUAGAGUGUUCACGGCAGGCUAUCGCCAGAAUACAUUAGCAUGGAAUAAUAAUAUAGGAUCUUGGUUCUAUUUUGUUGGUUUCUAGAACGGAGAUAAUGAUUAAUAGGGACAAUUGGGGGCAUUCGUAUCAACACGUCAGAGGUGGAAUUCUUGGAUUGUGUUGCGACGAACUACUGCGAAAGCAUUUGCCAAGGAUGUUUUCA